AUUGAACGCUGGCGGCAGGCUUAACACAUGCAAGUCGAGCGGGGGAAGGUAGCUUGCUACCGGACCUAGCGGCGGACGGGUGAGUAAUGCUUAGGAAUCUGCCUAUUAGUGGGGGACAACAUCUCGAAAGGGAUGCUAAUACCGCAUACGUCCUACGGGAGAAAGCAGGGGAUCUUCGGAACGUGCGCUAAUAGAUGAGCCUAAGUCGGAUUAGGUAGUUGGUGGGGUAAAGGCCUACCAAGGCGACGAUCUGUAGCGGGUCUGAGAGGAUGAUCCGCCACACUGGGACUGCGACACGGCCCAGACUCCUACGGGAGGCAGCAGUGGGGAAUAUUGGACAAUGGGGGGAACCCUGAUCCAGCCAUGCCGCGUGUGUGAAGAAGGCCUUAUGGUUGUAAAGCACUUUAAGCGAGGAGGAGGCUACUCUAGUUAAUACCUAGGGAUAGUGGACGUUACUCGCAGAAUAAGCACCGGCUAACUCUGUGCCAGCCGCCGCGGUAA
rnacentral:rRNA from 1 species